AAGCUGGUUCUAUUCUAUGAACCUGUUAGAAGGCAGAAGAGUGAAUCCGCAUCAAUCAAAUGCAGUAUUUCUUUCCCAGAGCUGUACUGUUUCAUCAGUUUGCAGCAACUAAAGAAGAUAUUCUUGAGCUAAAAAGGAACAAAGCAUUUGCAGAGAAAGAAAUGCAGAGGUUACAAAAUCCACCAGCAGCCAAGAGCCACACUCAGGCAGGGGCACAGUAAGAAUGCAGCCUGAGGGCAGUUCAGGCGAUGUUAAUGUUACUGUAGACAAAGUAACAUUACUUAAACCACUGUGUCAUCUCUGGAAAAUCAGUGCAAAAGAGACAUGCUGACAUAUGCAUCGUGUUGUCUUCACCAAGGAAGUUGGACAGCUUCCAAAUAAAGCUUCAGAAGGAGGAUUGAGCUCUGCAGACCUCAGGCUGCUGAGAGUGCCUGGAGCCCUUCAUUGGAGCGAGACCAGUAGGAGGUUGUCUUCUAGCCUGCAGGAGACAUGUUCAUUGUUGAGAAAACCGUCACCAUGAGAAGAUGUCACCAGGGUGAGCAACAACACAAGAAAAAAUGGUUUUAAGGGCGAUUGCAAUUUCAACCAGGUUACACA